UUUGAUAUAUAUUUAAAGAAUAGAUCUAGACAAUAGACUACUGUGGCUUAGUGAUAUCGAGAUAAAGGUAAGGUCAGAUUGUCCACCUAUCGCCUUAGUCAAGUAGUACUUGAC